UACAUGGGGUGCAAACGUUGCUCGGAAUUACUGGGCGUAAAGCGUGCGCAGGCGGUUUUGUAAGCCAGGUGUGAAAUCCCCGGGCUCAACCUGGGAAUGGCAUUUGGGACUGCAAGGCUGGAGUGCGGCAGAGGAGACUGGAAUUCCUGGUGUAGCAGUGAAAUGCGUAGAUAUCAGGAGGAACACCGAUGGCGAAGGCAGGUCUCUGGGCCGUAACCUGACGCUGAGGAGCGAAAGCGUGGGGAGCGAACAGG
rnacentral:rRNA from 1 species